GCCUCAAUUCGGAGGCCAAUCACUAAAACUUUAAUUGGAAUGAUUCAGAAAAGGUUAGCAUGGCACUACACAAGGAUGACAUCCAAAUUUGUGAAGUGUUCCAUGCUGUA